rnacentral:piRNA from 1 species
UGGGUCUGAGUGAAGCUGAGGGUAGAG